rnacentral:rRNA from 1 species
CCUACGGGAGGCAGCAGUAAGGAAUAUUGCUCAAUGGGGGCAACCCUGAACCAGCAACGCCGCGUGAAGGAUGAAGGUUUUCGGGUUGUAAACUCCUUUUGUUAGAGGAGAUAAUUACAGUAUCUAACGAAUAAGCACCGGCUAACUCCGAGCCAGCAGCCGCGGUAAUACGGAGGGUGCAAGCGUUACGCGGAAUCACUGGGCGUAAAGAGCGCGUAGGCGGGAUAGUAAGUCAGAUGUGAAAUCCUAUGGCUUAACCAUAGAACUGCAUUUGAAACUGUUAUUCUAGAGUAUGGUAGAGGUAGGUGGAAUUCGUGGUGUAGGGGUAAAAUGCGUAGAGAUCAAGAGGAAUACUCAUUGCGAAGGCGACCUGCUAGAACAUAACUGACGCUGAUGCGCGAAAGCGUGGGGAGCAAACAGGAUUAGAUACCCUAGUAGUC